rnacentral:rRNA from 1 species
GUCCACGCUGUAAACGAUGGAGUGCUAGACGUCACGGGUAUUGACCCCUGUGGUGUCGAAGUUAACACGUUAAGCACUCCGCCUGGGGGAGUACGGUCGCAAGAUUAAAAACCCAAAGGAAUUGACGGGGGCCCGCACAAGCGGUGGAGCAUGUGGUUUAAUUCGACGCAACGCGCAGAACCUUACCUGGGUUUGAACUGCAGUGGACCGGUGCAGAGAUGUACCUUCCCUUCGGGGCUGCUGUAGAGGUGCUGCAUGGCUGUCGU